rnacentral:rRNA from 1 species
GACGAACGCUGGCGGCGUGCUUAACGCAUGCAAGUGGAGCGACGAACUAGGCUUCGGCCUAGGGCAGAGCCGCGAACGGGUGAGUAACACGUGGGUAACCUGCCCCAAUGAUUGGGACAAUCCGAGGAAACUCGGGCUAAUACCAAAUGUGCCCACCGAUCACGAGAUCGGUGUGUAAAGGUAGCUUCGGCUUCCGCACUGGGAUGGGCCCGCGGCCAUUAGCUUGUUGGUGAGGUAACGGCUCACCAAGGCGACGAUGGGUAGCUGGUCUGAGAGGACGAUCAGCCACACUGGGACUGAGACACGGCCCAGACUCCUACGGGAGGCAGCAGUGGGGAAUCUUGCGCAAUGCGCGAAAGCGUGACGCAGCAACGCCGCGUGGAGGAAGAAUGCCUUCGGGUUGUAAACUCCUUUCAGUUGGGACGAAGCCAUGUCCGUUAAUAGCGGGUCAUGGUGACGGUACCAUCAGGAGAAGCCCCGGCUAACUACGUGCCAGCAGCCGCCGUAAGAC